UACGUGUGGAGCAAGCGUUGUUCGGAAUUAUUGGGCAUAAAGGGCACGUAGGCGGAUUGUCGUGUCUGGGGUGAAAUCCUUCGGCUUAACCGAAGAAGUGCCCUGGAAACUGGCAGACUAGAGUGGAACAGGGGAGAGUGGAACUCUGGGUGUAGCGGUGAAAUGCGUAGAUAUCCAGGGGAACGCCGGUGGUGAAAACGACUCUCUGGGUUCUUACUGACGCUGAGGUGCGAAAGCGUGGGGAGCAAACAGGAUUAGAUACCCCCGUA
rnacentral:rRNA from 1 species